ensembl:processed_transcript
UAUUUUUUGUUUGUUUCUCCUUAUUUUAUGUCACCGGAUGACACGCAAGUUUCAAAAUGAGACACAAGUUUCAUCAUAACAACUGCAUGCGGUCUACUUCAAAGAGGGGUUUUGGCAAAGACUGGAUUUCCAUGGACGAGCGCCUCUCCAAAAGAGAGAAGGACUUCUGAGCUUGUGAUUAGUGGGCUAAAAAUCUGACACCCACAGAGCCGGGCCUUAUGUUGGUGCACUUAAGCCCGUCCCACACCCAGAACUUUGAAGGAGGCAAGUGUGGUAGGCUGCUGCUAGGCUGCAAAGAGCAAGAACGGUGAUUGACACGAGCAGAAAGCUGAAAAAAAAUCAGUCUUUCUGUAGGUAGGCGGAUGAGUGGGGCGAACCAAUCCUCAGCAGAGCUUGUUUUAAUUGCCGUCUGGUAAACAUCAAACGUGAAGAAGAAGAAAAAAACACAGACGAUUCCAUCUUAAGAUACAGGGUGUUUUGGAAAAUAUGUUAUGCUGUGUGAUUUCAUCUAUUGCUUUAUGCUGAACAUAUUGAGAGUUAUUAUAUUCCUGAGAUGCGGGUCAUUAAAAACGGAGCGUCAACUCUUGUUUGCUUUGUUGUCAGAAGUGUGAGCGGUGCAGAUGCUGAGGAGGAGGUUUUACUUGAGGGAACGCUUCAGUGUUUUAACGCUCCGUGCUGUUGUUGUUUUAAUUAAAGUUCACCCAA